UGCUUUGAGACUCGGUGGCCUGCAGGCAGCGGGAGACGAGGGGACUGGGCAGCCUUCCUCCAAGGGGCCCGCAGCUGGGGGAGCGCCAGGCAGGGAGCAGGGACAAGGAGAUCCAACUUAGAAAUAAUGUUUCAUUCAAGAUAAGGCUCGUGGCUUAGGAGAUUGUGACCUGGCUUGCAUCAUUCUAAGACUUCUAUCGUCUGUUUUCAAAACCCAAGGAGGACCUCCUUUUCUGUGUGAUAGUUCCUCAUGCUUUGCCAGCCACUGGGUCUUUAAGGAAGCUUGCCAAGAGUUCCCGGCUGGGAAGGACAGUUCGAGUUCAUCAUAGACAAUGAGCUGGCACCACAGUUUAAGUGACUCACCAACCUGGUUGCCCACUUCAAAAUGUCAAGAACCACACUAUCUAAUUGAAAGAACUGUGUUUUAGCAAAGUGUAAUUGGAUCGCCUGGCAAGAUCAUCUCAAACUAUGUCUCUGACCUUGCCUUUCAGUGGCUAUUUUGAGCACAAGAGGAGAAAGGAAAUGAUUCCUGAAUUAUAUCUUGUUUUUAAAAAUUAAGAUUAAUUAAUACUUGGUUUUAUGUUCAUUCCAUUGUAGGAACUUAGUGAUUAUUACAAAACAGUCAAAAUAGGUCAUAGCAAAAUGAACGUUUAAGAUUAGGUUAAAACAUUCCUCUGAAAUUUUAGUAUUCACUUUUGAAGUGUCAAUUACUAUAUUUCUGUAAUUUCUCAUUUUUUUCUUGGCUUAGAGUCAAGAUGAAAAAUGAUAUUUGAAUCAAAGACAUUGUUUUGUUAUAUAGCCACUCCUUUCUAAAAUGCAAAUCCACCCUCCCCUCACCAAUGCUUUAUUCUUUGUGCGCGCACACACACACACACACACACACACACACACACACACACACAGACAUACACAGAACCAGCACCCAAAUGGUAGAGGAGGUCCUUCCAAGACUUCUAGGACCUGGAUCAUGUAAGCAGUAGAUGAGAAAAUGAAGUAAGAGAUAUAGAGUAAUAACAAUAAAAGUCAAUGAUUUCAUUUUACAAAAAAGUCAUUGUGUAGUACUCAGAUAUUUUUAAGAGCAAGUAUUAUUAUGACUAAAGUAUAUUAUACUUCUAAAUUAUUAUGAUUCUCAUCUAAUUUCAAGCCACACAUAGGCGCCAUUUGAAAGCAUUUUGUGUUACAACCUAUCAACAAAAAUCAACUAAUAGUUUUAUAACGUGCAUAGGUUUACCCCAUGGGGAAUUAAAAUUUUUAUCUGCAAGUAUUUCUGUUGUUGUGAG
rnacentral:lncRNA from 1 species